AAACAUGGGCCUAAGGCUUCCUUUGCUCCUGAAGUGCAAAGCCCUAGAAGAAGUUCUUCCUUUCCUUUCUUCUUCACCGCCUGUUUGUCAGCUGUCCAUACUGUCUCCUAGCAACACCAGAAGAUCCCCUCUUUUCCCCAGCACCAAGCCUGGACAUUGCAGUUGUCACCCACUGUUUCUCUGAAAGCAACAGUUCUCAGCCUGUGGGUAGAACCCUUCUGGGGGUCAAAUGACCUUUUCACANNGAUCUUAUAUCUGAUAUUCACAUUACAAUUGAUAACAGUUAUCAAAAUUACAGUUAUGAAGUAGCAAUGGCCUAUUUUGUGGUUGGGGGUCACCUCCGCAGGAGAAACUGUGUUAAAGGAUCACAGCUUUAGGAAGGAUGAGCACCACUGUUUUAAAGCAUUAAGUCAGGUCCACCUCACCUGCGCUCCAGCUUUUCCCUUGGACUAUGUCGACUCAGGAGUCCCCAUGGGGCCUGGUGGACAUCACAGUCUGGAUCAUUUUCUUCACAAAACUCACUGUCCCUUGGAAAGCUUGUUGGUUUGAUUCACAGGGAAUUGGCCAGUUAGUUAUGUCUGCCUUCAAAUCAUCAGAGAGACACUAGAUGAAUGGUUCUCAACCUACCUGAAGGGUUGUGACCCACCANAGGCUGAGAAUCACUGCUCUAGAGUCUAGAACUUAGCCACACUGUCUAGUACAGGAGUACACAAAGAGAGCCUUUAAGACACGUGCAGACAAAUGAGUCUUCCUAUUAGACAGGAGCCACUCGUUCAACAACAGUCACACUGAGAAUUUUCCGAAGAUCCACAGUCAGUCAACAGAACCUUUUGACAGUGUCUCCUCAGAUGACAUUGAGCAGAGUAAAUCUAAUUUAUGAUAUCGGCNGGUAAGGUUUGUUAGCAUGCACUGUGUGGAGGAAUGUUAGAAACAAAAAGGCCUUGAAGAUAGAAACCUACAUCUAGAAUUCCAGCUGCCUGACCUAGAUAAGAUGACGUUUGACCCAGAAAUCUUCUUCAACGUUUUGCUGCCUCCCAUCAUAUUUCAUGCAGGAUACAGUCUGAAGAAGAGACACUUUUUUCAAAACUUGGGAUCCAUUUUAACGUAUGCCUUCUUGGGAACAGCCAUCUCCUGUGUGGUCAUAGGGUAAGUGACAUUCGGAACCUGGGCUACAGGUGGCUGGAGCGCAGCAAUCUGAGAUGGGAUCUCAGACUUCUUGAUGCUUAC